AAAGCAUCACAUAGCAUCUCCUCAGAGAGGCAAGGCUGCUGAGGCUAGCUAUCCUCUAGUGCCCCUCCGAAACCCAAGGAAGACUGGGGAAUCAGAGCCAUCUCCAUCCGCUGACAGCCUUUGCACUACCUUUUUACUACUUUGGGAAUAAAUCAAAGCAUAAGCAAUCUU